AUUAUUUAUACUUAUUAUGUAGUAUUUAAUAGUUUAUUUUAUUGCUUUGGCACUUGCUUUAAAAACUUUGCAUUAAAUAAAUAAAAUUUGAAAAUAUUCUCUUUACCAGACGUGCGAAGUGAUUAUUUAAAUCGUGUUAGGCUGAUAAAAAUCAAACUUAAAUCAAUAAUUUAAGCCGACCCGUCGGCUGCAGAGCCAAUUGCAACCCAAUCAAGCGAACUGCAACAAAGCUGCUUAAAGUGUAAGUUCAGUUGGCUGUCAAUGGCAGUGGAUGUAGAUGGCAGUCAUUAUGCCAAUUACUCGGAAGUGGAGCAGGGGGACGAGGAGCGGGGAAUUUGCAAUGAAAUUUCGCUGUGGCAACAAAACUUUUACGAGUGUAUUAAAUAAGGCAGCAGGACCUGCAGGAUGAAAGCAUUCUCGUACAGCUUAAUCGAAACAUUCCAAAGUCGCUUUUCAGUUUCUCUGGAAAUUUAAUAUUCGAAAUGGUUUCUUCAGAAAGGAAGCGCAGUAAAUACCUCAUUGUUCGGAUACUUUGUCUUGAACACGAUUUCCACGUCUAUGAACACUUUGUUCAAUUUCGAAUUGUUUAUUUAAAAUUAUUUGAGGCAUAAUAAGAGGGGUUUGAAUUAUUGUAAAAUGCUGACCGUCUGUCGUUCGCAUAAAAAAACGGACAGAAAAUUAAUGAAACAUUCCUGGAAUUUCUAUUUGCUUUCACAACAAUUUCAUUAUACUUUCAGCAUCUGCUUUACUCAGCAUGAACUUUGGAUGACAAACUCAGUUUUAGCUGAAGGAAAUUUAAUGAACUUUUCUGCAAAUCCUUUAAUGCUAGUAAGUUUAAGUUUUCCCCCACUAAAGAUUGUAGCCAAAUCUGCCAGGAUAAAAUAAAUCUUACCCAAUUUCCCAGGCUGCAGGGAACUGAGGCUUAACCGCUUUGGGGUUUAAGUGGCCUGCCAAUUACCGGCAAACUUUGAGGCCAAACAAUGAGUGCGUAAAUGAGCAGGGAACGAUGGUCUUGGGUUGGGGGUCAGAGGUCACCACUCGCGAAUCGCGAGCUGAGCCCCCUCGCAUAGGCAAAUAAUGUGCGGAACGUGCAGGCCUCAUUAGGCUCCCCCACUCCCCACUCCCCCCUCAUUACUGUCGCCAUGGAAAUCGGGAAGGAAGUGGGCGGAAAGUGAAGAGUGGGUGGGUGGCAUGAACUGCCGCGAUUUGAGAUGAGGUUGCGCAAUGGCAGAUUGGCUCUCCUUCAAGUUUGCGGUAUUGAGGAGUCAAGGGGUAGCAAAAAUUCAAGAUACUGGAAGAAUUAAAGCUGGCGGAUUUUAAGAGGCAAAAGAGGAUUUUCUAGCAUGAAAAUUUCAUAUGCUCUUAAUAAAGUAAACUCUAGAGAAGACUCCAUGAUUAUUGAUGCACUGGGUAAAUACUUAAUUGUUGUUUUUUAUAUACACCAGAGAAGGUAUUCUUCAAACCUAAGACUGCUCAUAUUACUUUACAUAUCAAUAAUUGGAGCUAAAGAGUUAUAAGUAAAGCAUUUCACUUACUAGUGCUAGGUAUAUUUGUGUCUAUCUUAAUGUUCAUAAGCUCGGCUGAUGUAUUUCCUUUGAAUGUUUUUAUUUCUGCUGUCUUGCUGUUACCAUAAAUUGUGCACUAAUUUAUGCAAACGAUACGAAACAAAUUUGCCAGAAAGCUGAGGAAAACAAUUUGAAAGCGUGCCACAACAAAAUCAGCGAAAACAAGAUGAUAGCUGUAUCUUUGCAAUUCUUUUGGCAGACUGACAAAACCCACUGCAGUCGAACGAUUUCAAUCAGAAAUAAUUUUGUAUCUUUACUUGCGACAAGGUUUGUUUGUUAAACCGCUAAUUGGGAAUACUGUGCUUGGGAUAAUAAAAAUAUUUAAAAACACUUAAGAUUGAGUGUCUUGCUUUGAACACAUACAAAUAAGGAAUUUAUCUUCUUUGAUUUCCUUAAAAGUUAUUUAAGCAGUCCACAAAAAGAGUAGUUUUUUGUUGACUGUAGCUUAUUUACAAUUUGAAAUAAUUUGUGAAAUUUUGUUUACCACUUCAGCAUGCUUGAGUAACUAAUUUUCUUAAACUGAAUUGACCUACAGAGACAACUCCUUUGAAGUGACUGCAUUAAAAAUGCAUUAAAAUCGCUCAGUUGGAUUGUCGGCUAAUGGUCCCCGUGUGCUGGAUCCUUCCAUAAGCCCCUGUGCUCUGUCUGCGAGAGUAGUUUUUCCCGCUUUUCCCACAUUUUCCAGCAUUUUCCACGCACUACAUUUGCCGCGGACCACCGUGUGUGUGUGUGAAUUUGAUUGGCAGUGAGCCGUGGAGCUUCUAGGGUUCUUCUCCCUUGUGACUUGGCUCACAUCUUUUGCCGGCAUUUUGAAAAGCGCAUGAAAAAAAGAAGAAAAUUGUUAACCCAGUUUCGUGCCCUGUUGUCUGUCGCCUACUUUUCCGCUCUGCUUCUCGAGCAUUUCCACUGAAAACUUUAAUGACGUCAAUUACUCCUGCCCCGUUGAAGUUAAAUUGCUUCAGUUCGACUUAAGGAUUGCCUCUUAAUUGCUGGGAAUUCGUGCAGCAGUUGGGUUUUGCUUCGCUUUGUCUUAUUUAUUAUUUGAUAGCUAAUUGGAGUUUGAUUUUACUAAACAACGAAUUUCAACUGCUAUUAUUAUUUUGCACAUUUUCUCACUUUAAUUGUCAUGGACAAAUUAGAAAACAAAACAUAAUAUUCAUAAACGUAGUCGAGUAAUAUUAAAUGAGUUGAAUUAAAUACUAAAAUGAAAAGUUUUUUCUUUUCUAAAGCCUUUCAAUUGGAAGCCUGCAUUUGGGUUAGAAAAUGCCAUGAAUUUGUAGGCGCUUUUCCUUUUCCACCCAUAUAUCAAAAGUGAAAUGUCUGGCCUGUGCCAAAAUUAGCAAGUAGCUUGUCCUGUCCCAGUUUGACUUUGCUGCGUAUAAUUUCGCCUGACACUUUCCCCAUUCCUGUAGUCCGGUGAAAGUGCACAAAGUCUGUGGACUGGGGAACAGAUGCCACUUUCUCUGCAGGAUGGUGGGCUAAUCCCGCCCUGCACUACUCGUAUAUAUAAUGGCCGGUAUAAAUAGAGACUUGGAAGCAAAGUUGUCGGCAGAAUGACAACAUCAUCAACAUGAAAAUCAGCAGCUUGAUGAGAGAGAAAGAGAUGCGAUGGCCACCACUGGGAGUAAUGUAAGUGUGUGGGCUUUAAGGUAAUUUUCCCUCUUCCUUUUGCGUGAUUUUCCGGCUUGCGUCAUUGCGUGCAACUAUUUCCCAUUUCCCACGUAAUUCCGAGUGCGUGUGGCAGUUUCAGCUGACAUCAAAUGCAAUUAAAAUUGAAUUCCACUCAAAACCCACGCACACAAAGGCCUUUCAAAGGGCUUUCCACAACCCUUUUUUGCCGUCCAACUUUCUGCAUGUGGCAGCCCCUCAAAUCGCAUUACAUAAGCCAACAAUUAUGUUCCUUGUGCCCUGGCCCUCAACUUUGAACUUGCAUGUUUGCAUUCAAGUUGAUGUUAUGUGCGUAUAUACUGUACACUCUGUACACUCUCUGUGCGGCAUGGAAAUUCCGGGAAAAUCUUUGAGCAGCUGAGUGCAAAACAAAAGUGUCCUUGCCCUCCAUCUCAGUCUAUCCGACAUAUUGUGUGUUUCAAAGCAAUGCAUGUGCAUUUUGUAUUUAUAUUUCAUUUGGUUCUCGGCCCUGCUUUUGGCAGUUUUAUAAGUUAUUUAUUUUCCCAGCAAGUGCCAUUAAAUUGCGAGUGUAAGCUGCUUACUACAAGGGCUUUGGCUUUUUAAAAUAUUUUAGUUCAAUAAAAAAUUGGAAAGAUUUCCAGCUGAUACUUAAUUUCCCUUUCUAGUUAAUGAGCUGCACUUAAUUAACUUAGAUUGAAGGGAAUGCACUUUCCAUGUUGCAUCCACUGCACUUCAGGUAUUCCCAAAAUCGCGCUAGUUUGUGCGAAUUACGUUAAGUUCAUGGUCACUGUCGUCGGCUGACAAUUGAUCGACAAUUUGGCCAAAUACCCAGCGUGGGGGGAAGAAUGCGUGUGGGGGGAACGACGGCAUUGCCCCCAAAGAGCUUUUACAAAAAUAAAGUUAAUUAAAAAUUGUUUAGCGCGAGGGAAUGAGAGCGAGCAGAGAAACACAGGAGCAACAUCGCAACAUCGAGUGCCCUGAAAAUGCAAAUGUAAUUAAAUAAACACGACACCCGACGGACGCCCAUCAGCUUGGGUGGCUCUGGGUCCCCAUCGCGACUAGGAUUAGAUGGAUGAAGGAAGGAAGGAAGACCGGGGGGAUACGGAAUUCCUAAAGCAACGAGCCCCCCAAAAAAGGAGGAGCUUUAUCAAUUUUAGGGUCUCGAGCGGACAGCUGGCGGUAGAAGAUGAAUUCGAUGCCUCGGCGAGCAGGAAUUUUGUCGUUGCCAAAGGCACAGAGGGUAAGAAAGUACGGCCACGGUAAAUAAAGAAAUUCCCCCAACCAACCAUACACACUAACAAGUUCAACAUUUGGUCAUUGAGGUGUUCUUAUUAUGAAAUUUGCCAUUUUCUACUUGACUUUUUGGGUGCUAGCAUCUAGAACUAAAAUGUUGGCUAGAGAUUCACACUAAUUAUAAUUGGUAGGGCAAAUAUGUUUAUUAAAAUAUAUACAUUAUUAAUAUAUAAACAUUUACCUAUUGAAGCAGAUUGAGUGGCUGCAGCCCACUGUAGCUGCAUCGUGAGCACUUAAACAGCGGUAGACAAACAGAUUGAGUGGCAAUUUCACUCUAAAAUUGGGGAUGGCCAAAGAAACCAAGGGGGUGCAUGGGAAGCUGCCUCUGGCGUGGUGCAGUUUGUGGUUAAAUUGAUGGACAUGUCGCUUUUGCGUCGACAACUGCAAUUGUUCAGGCGGGAAACGAACCGCAGCCACUUCAUUAGCAGUGUAGCCAGCAUUUCAGCCAAGACGCCAACAUACAGAGCCUUGGCAAUCAAAUAGCUUCUGCUCCAAAGGCGUCUUGAGUGGGGGUCAGAAAUAUAUAUGUAUAUCAGAACUAAAACAUAGGGAGACUUAAAGGAAAGCUUAUGCUUUCGCUCGAAUUUUAAAUUAUAUUUAUGUGGAACAAGAAAAAAGUUUAGAAUGUAUGUACAUUUCAACUUGUUGGUCCUUUAGUAGUAAAUAUUUAAUGUGCAUAAAUAGCCCAUCAAUGCAUAAACUAUAUUCGUUAAUUAUUCACAUAGAACAUUUGCCUUUUGAAUGGGCGCACCCCUGUUUUAUUCACCAGCUGUGAGUGCUAUUCACAUUGAGCGAAAAGCUUCGGGACUCAGGUACAUGAAUUUGAUUUGUCGCCCAACACGAGAUUUGUAGUUGCCUCAAUUCAUUAUUUCUUUGCGGGAUCUGCUAAAUGAAAGGCGGCAUUUCUGUUGACACUCUUAAUUAAUGGGAGAUUAACUUUUUCAUUGUUUCGCUUACAUUUCGCCACUCGCAAUUCGCAUUCGCCACUCGCAAUUCGCAAUCGUAUUCGCAGUGUUCGCUUGCUCACGUGCAAACUCAUAAAUCACGCAUACGCCCGGUUGAACGACCUCGUCGCCAAUUAACGGCGCGGCCAACAAGGGCGUCCUGUCAAUGUGUCAGCCAGUCAUUCAGUCACUCAGUCAGCCAGUCAGCUAGUCGCGUUUCCGGUUCCGCCUGCGGAACGGAUUGCGUGCCAAAUGAUGUGUCACCUCACAUUCAAAUCCCGAAGUAGCAACUAAAGCCACAUGUCCUGAGCCAAAAAACCGCACCGUUCACGGAGAGAAAAAGCUGAUAAAUUGGACAGCUGGUCAAACAUAUUUAUUUGGGUUUUUUAAAAACCAUUUCCCAAGUAUUAGUUUAAACUAUUUAUUUGUAUCGAAGUAGUAACUUUAAGGCUAAUAUAGCAGCUCUUAAAAGUUGAAAAUUUAUAUUCUUCUAAUAUUUUCAAGCAUUUAAUAUUAAAUUCCUAUAUUUAAAUAAACAAUUUUUCCGAUUUUUCGCCAGUGCUGACAUGGGCCAUAAAAAUUGAGUUGGCCGAGUGCCAACAUGGCCAAGAGACCUUCGCUGUCUCCAGUGAGCGGAGCCAUCACUAUCACUGCGAGCCAGAACCUGGAGCCUGGCCCAAUUCAAUUAGAUGCCAAAUGUAAUUAGCUAAAUGGCUUCUCGAUGUUGUGAUAAGCACCCACCGGCACUUGCUCCCGUUUACUCCCCUGUCACAGCAGUCACUUUUCAUGGCCUGAGGAAGCGGACGACUUGUGCUGGGAGUUGUUAUUAAAAGUUUUGCCACCGCAGGGGCCAGAGUUCAGCAUCAGGCAGCUGGAAACUGGAAACUGAAUACGGAAUGCGGAAAACUGAAAACUGUUAACUGUGAACGGGCUUAGCCAACUUCUGCCAACGGUUUACAACUGCAGAAGGUUGCGCUUUAAGUGCGAGUUCUAAACUUAAGCAAACUUUGGAUGCCACAUUGCGUCAGUGGGGCAAUAAAGCUGGAUUACCAAGCUGCACUACACAAAUAUUCGAGAAUUUCAAUGAAACCUUAAGCAGCAGCGCUUAAAUGUUAGAUGAUAUAUAUAAUCAGAUAUGGAAGUUUUAACCACUGGAACAAACUGCUUAAAGUGAAACAAGCCUUAAAAUUUAACUGCAAAGUGCAGAAAAUGCAAAAGGAAUUAAUUAUGCUCACCGAUUAAUGCGGAAAUAAAUAAAUGAUUAAAACGCCCAUUGCGGAUUGAGUGUUAAAGGGUUUUCGAGGCCACUGAUGGGUCAUUAAUUAAACAUGCAUUUCCGGAAUGCGGUCACUUCAAUAAAAUCGUAAAAUAAAUAAUUGGCAUUUUGUGCUUUUCCGUUUUUCUGAUUUUUAUUUAUACUUGCUGGGCAAACAGUUUAUAAUUGGGCUGCAAUUUAUACAAAAUGCCGCCAUUAAAUAUGGCGCCUAUUUGCCUUUGUCCUAACGAUUUCUAAGCCACGCCCACCUCCAGCAACGCCCUAAGCAAACACAAAUACAAACAGCAACACAGACAGACAGACAGACACAUAGACAGACACGCAGACACAGACGAAACGAAGCCAAUCUUUGGUUUACGGGGCGGAUGUGUAAUAUGCUUUGCCUACUUUUGUUACUGGCUUUUGGGCCUUUGAUGCGCCCUCAUCCAUCAAAAUGUUUGCAGACACACAAAAUAUGCUCAGCACAGCGCUUGUUUGCUUGUGUUUUAAUAUUUUAUAAAUAUUGCGAUUUCCCUAAGCUGUUAAACUCGUAGUUGGGCUGUUUAUUUAUCAACUCUUUAAGCAAGAAGCUUAUGUUUAUUACUUUAUUACUUUUUAUUAUUAUUUAUUUAUUUUUUAAUUUUUACUGUAAAUACUAUAUAUUUACAUACAAUUUUCUAGGUUCCCCUGCAACUUUUUUCCAGGUGCAUCUGUGCAAAUCAGUGUCAGUGGCAUUACACCAGCAUAUCCUCCUCAGAGGAAAACUUGGGACUGCCGCCGCAUCUCGAUGAUCAGUGAACUGCAAUAAUUCGAUUUCGAUGCGCAGCUCUGCAGCCAGAAAUCUGGCUGGUUAACUGCUGAAGCCGUAGGAGUAGGAAAAUGCUGCGGAAAACCGGAGGGCGGGAAAAUCCAGUCGAGGCAGCCUGUCUACCUGAGGCGCCUGCAUCAACCUGCAGCUUAAUUUGUGACGCAAUGCAUGACGAGUUGGAGGAAAAGGCUGCCUGCGUCUUUGUUGAUUGCGGAAGAGCAGGGGAGUGGAUGGUUGGCAAAGAAAAUGACGUGCCAUGAAAUUGAUUGCAAAGUUUUUGCCCCCCAAAGAGGCAGCUCCUUUAGCGAGCUGAAGAGCCUGGGACUCCUGGAACUCGGGACUCAGGUGGGCGUCGUCAAAGGUCAAAGCGGUGUGCAUAGGCAAAACCAUUCCAGCGACCUCCCAUCUCCACCCUCCGACCCUUAACCCUGCUGAAGUGGGCGGGGUUUAUGUUUGCCACUACUGUCGAUCGCAUAUUAAAUGAGCUUACCUUCGGGCGCCUGAAAGAGCCCCUGAGCACGCCUUCAAAUUGCUCAGCUGCGAGGCAAUGUGCACGUCAAUUAAAGUGGUUUACGGCCAAGUUUAUCCGGGGAUGUGUUCCAGGAAAGUGGCGCCUUGGGCUUGGCUAAAAUCCAACUUUAUGGCACAUCACAUGUUCAAACGUGGCUUGUUAUUACAAGAGAAGAUUAGCUACUAUAACAGUGCUAUCUGUAAGCCCAACUAAUAAAAGUUGCUGCGGUGAUGCUAAAAAAGAGGAAAUCUUGGGGGUUUUGGGGGCUGGACCCUGCCAAUUUGCGAGUGACAAGGGUUCUUUGGCGACGUUACGUCAAAAGGAUGUAAAAAUAGCUGCUUACUCUGUUGGCCAGGAAACGGAAGCGCACAAAAAGUGUCCCACAAAAAGUUUCAAUUAGUUGAGUGCAAUGUUUAGACAAGCUGACGAGGGCCCACAGAUACCCUAUUUUUUCAGAGGCAGUACAAUUCCAUGUGGAAUAGGAGGACUCCCUAGCCUGCUGCAAUAUGAUUCCAAUUCGCAUUUCCCUUACAACUCGGUCUCCAUUCGGCACACUCCCGGUGGAUAUCCUGAACAGGACACUAUCAGCACGGCUGGCAGGAGCAGCACUACAUGUGGCCACUCGUUCAUCCUCAUUUCUGGAUUAAAUAUUAUUACGGAUGGAGAUGGUAUAUAGAAGUGCACUACCUUGAUUUUGUGGCGGAACGAAAGCCUUUCGAUUUUCCAAGCAAACGAAAACGACAAAUAAUUUUACGGGUUUUAUUUUCGAGUAACUACGUUAUAGGAAGCAAUGAAGGGCUUUGUUUUGGGUGAGUUAUAAGAGUAAAAAAUUAACAGAGUUUUAUAAUAUUAUAAAGCACUUUCUUUGGGAUUUAUGUAAGACUGUAAGUAUCUUCAAAGUAAAGUAUAUCCCAAUAAAGGAGCACACACGAGAAUUCAGCGAAAAUGCCCCAAUCCCUCUUGACAUUUUUUACGAAAUUUUUGUCUGUGCAAUUUGUGGAACAAAUUGCGGAUUGGAUCCGCCCACCCCACGUUCGUUUCACAUGUUAUUUGAUUAAUUGGCAGGGAGGGGGAAGGGGAAGAGUGUCGCUUACCGAUAUUAACGAUGCCAUGGUUGGUUAGUUCCCAGCAGGACUGCAGUCGCAGGAUGCUGAGGCUGUGGCUCUGUUUGGGCGAGAAGUAGCCGAGUGCCGCAUCCGUGACGUGGUAAGCCUGUUGGGAGCGGGAGGAGAUUCAAUUAAUUCGAUACGAGGCCACGGGCAACAUGGCACGGUGCAUGGUGCUAGAGAAGGAGGAGGAGCAGCUAGAGAAGCUCUGGCAGAUCCUCCAUCAAUCUGGACUUGCCUGCAGCGAGAACUCGUAGAGGGAGGGCAGGAGCUGGGCCACCGCGCCCACCGCCUCGUCCGCGAUGUUGAUGCAGUCCGCCAGGGACAGGGACACGAUGCGGGGCGUUAGACACGCCCACAGACCCGCCUCGGUCACCUCGUUGCAGCCAGCCAGCUCCAGUUCAAACAAACUCUGCAAUUGAGGGGAUUGGGUGUUACAAACGACAGCAAGGACACUUUGCGCACAGGAUUUCAUUAAAAAUAUCAGCAAAUAUACUCUAAUAUGUGUAUUAAAUGAAUAAAGGCAUCACAGACUUACUUUAUGGAAUUCAUCUUAACGUGCUAGUAAAUUUGACUAAAGGUACUUAAGUAUUAGUUAGGAAUAACUCAGUAAAAUAUAAUUUUUGCUUUCCUUCAAAUGCAAAUCUAAAUAAAUGAAAAGAAAUGAGGUCAGGCUAAUAAACACAUAUUGAUAUUAAUUUACAUGUAGCACAACUUGAAAAACAAAUGUUUUCUUUUAAAAAAAUACAAAAACUUGCAAACGUGAUAAAACUGAAAAUUCUUGAAACAAAAUGUAAUACACCUUGAAAAUAUUAAUAAAGAACUUUUAUUUUACCAGA